GCCGCACGACCCCUUCUCUCUUGCACGUCGUUCUUCUGCUAGCGCCGGAAAAUGCUAGUUUCCGGCCACCACCUCUCGUCACCGCCACCACCAAUCGGUCCGACACCUAGUUUCGACGCAAGCCCAUGCCAAAUCGACGAGUUCUACCGAGCCUAGCCACCAUGCACAGCAACCACAGUCCCCGCGAUUUUGUCUCCUUCAAUUCCGGCGACUCCCUCAGCUCACCGCUGCCGCCAACGUGUUUGGAUCAAGCCAAGCCACAAAACCCAAAUGUUUCUCCUCCAAUCGACGCCGGAAAGCUGCCAUAUGCAUCACUGCCGGUGACUCCGAAUCUGCUUGUCCUCGUUCUCCAAUCUCCAGCCCAAAUUGAGCUGCACAACCACCAAAGUUGGAAUCAGAGCCUCCUCAUUCUUCAAAACCCUUUGGUCCCGACCUUUGCUUCGGCCAGAACCGUUGCACGCGUUGCCGCUGCCGUGUGGACCACCGUGGCUCCGCCACCGGAAUUCCAGGCCACCUUUAUUAGUUUUUGAUUAUGAGUUAUGAAGUUUUUGGAGAAAGGAAUGGGCAUUGGUUCAGUUUGAUGUAUAAUGAAGGAAGGAAGGAGUUCGAAUGGUUGUUGGUGGUGGAGGACUACACUUAUUUAGAAUUGGCCCUCUGUUUGAAGAUGAAGAAUUGGUAAGGAACUGGGUUCGGUGACCUUAUAAUUGCUAUAAUUGGUUUGGUCAAAUUAUGGAAUUGAUGGAGUUAUUGGUUUGCAAUUAGAAUGGUUUCAAAUAUAUUUUCGAUGGUGUUAUGCUUGUGCAAAGUUAGGAAGUGACGAAUUGAUUACCAUUGUGGAAAUGUCUUACUAGAAGUGGUAAGUAGUUUGGCCAAAUAAUUAAGGUAUUGGUGAAUAUUGAAUGGAUCGGUUUCGACGAGUUUGGCAAGUAACUGAAUGUUGAAAUUGAUGUUAAGAGGAAAUUGUUGUGAGAAUGGCACAUUUUAUUUGAGCAAGUUAAAUCGAUUGUUCGAUGAAGAUUAAUGAAACGAGUUGCCAAUUGGAAUAUUCUAAUACUACCAUAUCCGGGAAUUUCAGUAAGGACAUAAUCAUUUGGAAAUGGUGAUCAUGAAUUUUACAUUUAAGGAUUAAAGGCUAAGUAAAAAGGUCGAAUGGUUAACCUGAAUUAUAACUUGAAAAUAGUGUAAUUACCAUAUUCCAAAUGAGUUUACUUUGUUAAGUGGAUUAUUCGGAAAUGGUUACCCGUAAUUAUCAAUUUGGAGUAAAUUGGUGAAUUUAACACGUUUUGGUUACUUAAGGAAGUUGUCAUUAUUAUUAAGUUACUAAUUGGGCUUAAUUAUUUUGUUAAGGAAUUGAGCGUGACUACUUGAGAUAGAAUAAAAGCUCAAUAUCGAAAAUGACUUAACGGAGGAAUUUCCAAGCUCUUGACUUGGGAUGGAUAAGUUGACGGUUAUUGCAUUUGAAUCACUUGUGCAGGUUAGAUUAGUCGUGGUCGGGCGUACAUGGAGUCGAGGCAUAGUCCACAACAUAGCUUCCGUGCAUUCAUUUUAUUUCUAUUUUCCUUAUUAAUAUAACAGAUUAGAGCUGCUCUGAUAACUUGUGGGAUUCAUGUUAUCAAGUUAUCAAGUUGAUACUUGUACUUUUUGAAAUGGAAGUUGAUGUUAUUUGGGGAGCAGGGCGGCUCCAGGAGAAUAAGAAUGGAUUGAUUUAGAAGUGUAAAAUUUUCCUACAGGUUUGGGUAGCCUACUUUUAGGGGAAGUUCUGCCAAAUUUUUGGUAGAAUUUCUUCUAAGGUGGGCCCCACAGGGUCACUCCGGAUUUCGGGGUGAAAUCCGGGGCGGGUCCUGUCAUUACUGCUCAAUGUGACUACUGCAGAUCAUAUACCUAGAUUUACUCAACUCGGUGGCUGAAUAGUGGGAAUGACCAAAUGAAGGGACAAGACAUUUUUUUGGUUGCUAUAGACUCAAAUCGGAAUGAAGAAACUCAAAGAUUAUGAUUUUAUUGGUUAGAGAAUUUUUUUGAAACUAGAAGGUAUAAUAAUUAGCAUAUGGAGCACGUUUGGCAAACUUAACUAGAAUAGAUUAGUAUCCAUGAUAACUAUCUCCACUAUUUCAGAAAUUUGAGAGCGAGAGAAUGCGCUUGCACGCGCCUGAGAGCUUAACCGUAGGUUUCCCCCCUGUCCGGCGGCGUGCCCGUACGCCGUCGUCGGAUGGGCCAUUGUCGACUCCAUGUGGGUCAGGCGUGAGGCCGAGUCCCUUGAUCAAGUUCCGAUUCGGGUGAUUACGGUGGAUGUCAGAGAGGUGAAGGAGGGGAAGUCUGCGACUUUUGGUUGGUACUGGUCCUCUCUUCGAUGGCCUAAUCGGCUGCUUAGAGCACAGAUUCGGCGGCGGCUAAGCGGUGAGGCGUCCGGCGCGGCGUGGCAGGGGGUUCGGAGCGACCCGAUCUGGGUUGGGUCAUCUGAUCCCGAUCCAGGCUGGAGUGCUCCCACUCGGAUUCUCCAUGGUGCGAGGAAGACAGCGCUUCUUCGGGGCUGGGUUCCUAUCUGGGAUGGCGGUUCUCCUAGGCGCGUCGGAGAUUACAUAUCUUUGAAGGCAUUUUGGCGUAGGCGGCGCUGUGCAGGAUCUGACGGUGGCUGUGGUGGAGUUGGGUCAGGCCCGAUUGGCAGUUUGUGGGUUUCCUUCCCCUUGGAUUAUUGCUUGGGCUUGGGCCCCUGUAUUGGGCCCGGUCUGGGCUAUCUAUUUUAUUUCUGUUGUUAGCUUUAUUUGCAGCAGCUGUUUAAUUAUGUCACGUCUUUGGUGUGAAAUAAAUCUCUACACUUGUUGUGUAGGACUAGUCGGGUUUUGUGCCUGGGUAUGCACUCAAUGUGCCUUGUCUGCCCUAGGUAGGCGGCAGUUUUCUUGCUUUGUCAAAUGGUCGCUACCGCCUAGUGGCAGGGUGAGACUAAGUGUCAUCGGAUUUAUUUUUCGGCGGCAAUAUAGUAGGAAAGCUGUGCUAAAGCUGGUACUUAUGUUAUGUUGUAAUCGGGUUACAUAUCGAGUUAUCUUUCCGCUAUGUCACUGCUAUGUUGAAGCAAAUGGAGUAGCUCAUUGUGCACUCUUUGCUAGUUGUUGCUUGUUAGAAUACAAGUCUCCUGUAGAGAUUUCUGAUAUUAUUUCGGAACAUACUCUAGAUGCUUAUUGUAAUCAGGGGUUUAGGCUCAAUGUCCCCCCUUGUAUUCGACAGUUUCAUUAAUCAAGGCUUGAGGGCAGCCGCACCAGCCCUUUAUUCAAAAAGAUUAGUAUCCAUGAUUGACUUGGAUUGGAUUGAAAACAUGUUGGAUUGAAAAAUCUCAAUCUUACUCGUUGUUUGGAGCAACAGUAUACAAGUCGGAUUGGAAAUUGGAUAGCUAAAAGGGAGAAUAUCACAAAUAGUCACUGAACUAUAACAUGUUCGACACUUUGGUCACUUAACUUUUGAAAAUAUCGCUUUAUUCACUCAAGUUAGAUAUCGUCUAUCACUUUAGUCAUUUUGUCUAUUUCCAUCCAUCUUAUCCAUUGAAAUUUGAUGUAGGACGAGAAUGGGUCUGGUUUAGCCGGAAAACAAGAAAAAUAAAGAAGCGGUGUGGAAUUAAGAAGAGUGAUUGAAAAAUAGGUAAUUCACGCAUAAUGAGGUUACUAGCCGCUGCAAUAUCCAAGAAAGUUUGGUUUUGGACUUUUCAGGUUUCUCGUGCGAAAAGUCAGGUUCUGGAUUGUGAAUCAGAUUGGAGUAAAUUUUGGCCAGAAUGUCCGUUUGAGACGCAUGAUACCUUUCUGGAAUGGGAACGACGAGAUCUUCAAGACUCACUUUGGUGAGCCCUAACAGAUUUAGGCCAAAAUAUGUCGUUUUAAUUAUCCGAUUCGGGAUUUAAU